rnacentral:rRNA from 1 species
UGCUAGUUGUGCGGGUUUAGACCCGCAGCGGAAAGCUCAGUAACACGUGGCCAAACUACCCUGUGGAUGGGAACAAUCUCGGGAAACUGAGGCUAAUUCCCAAUAACGCUCCACCCCUGGAACGGGCGGAGCUGGAAACGCUACGGCGCCACAGGAUGUGGCUGCGGUCGAUUAGGUAGACGGUGGGGUAACGGCCCACCGUGCCAAUAAUCGGUACGGGUUGUGAGAGCAAGAGCCCGGAGACGGAAUCUGAGACAAGAUUCCGGGCCCUACGGGGCGCAGCAGGCGCGAAACCUUUACACUGUACGCAAGUGCGAUAAGGGGACUCCGAGUGUGAAGGCAUAGAGCCUUCACUUUUGUACACCGUAAGGUGGUGUACGAAUAAGGGCUGGGCAAGACCGGUGCCAGCCGCCGCGGUAAUACCGGCAGCCCGAGUGAUGGCCGAUAUUAUUGGGCCUAAAGCGUCCGUAGCUGGCCGGACAAGUCCGUUGGGAAAUCUGUUCGCUUAACGAGCAGGCGUCCAGCGGAAACUGUUCGGCUUGGGACCGGAAGACCUGAGGGGUACGUCCGGGGUAGGAGUGAAAUCCUGUAAUCCUGGACGGACCACCGGUGGCGAAAGCGCCUCAGGAGGACGGAUCCGACAGUGAGGGACGAAAGCUAGGGUCUCGAACCGGAUUAGAUACCCGGGUAGUCCUAGCUGUAAACGAUGCCCGCUAGGUGUGGCGCAGGCUACGAGCCUGCGCUGUGCCGUAGGGAAGCCGAGAAGCGGGCCGCCUGGGAAGUACGUCUGCAAGGAUGAAACUUAAAGGAAUUGGCGGGGGAGCACUACAACCGGAGGAGCCUGCGGUUUAAUUGGACUCAACG